GGCGAGGCGCACCGUCGAAUCCGCCUUCGCGAGAUACGGAGGAAGGGCGAAUGAUGGAAGGACGCCGAAAAUUGCGUAACGUCCUUUGCUGCGCGAUCAAUCGCGACGGCGAGUAAAUUCGCCAAUUAAGCAAACGAUCUUCCCGUUGACGAGGGCCGAUAGAAAAUGAAGAGAAGCGAGACGCCCCAUGAUGCGCCGGCGCGUAUUGGAAUCUAAAGGGUUUCCGAUCGAUUUUAAUACUCAAAUAUUUGCCUUGGCUGAUCGACAUUAAUUAGUCUCGAAGCGUUCCUAAUAACUCCAAUUAAGUUCGCGAUUUUUCCGUUACAAUGGAUGGCAAUAAAUGAGGAGAAACAGAGCGUGAAUUUGAAUAUAAGGAAUUCUCACAAGGAAGGGUCCGAAGCGUUGUCGGAAAAAACACGCGAAUGAUCCAAAGAAAAAUAGACUUCAUCGUAAGCGCAUUUGAUGAAUGCUGUUUAGUGGAUUCGACACAUUAUUAUAUGACCCAUGAAGUAUUCAACCAACGUGA